rnacentral:rRNA from 1 species
AACGACUCUCGGCAACGGAUAUCUCGGCUCUCGCAUCGAUGAAGAACGUAGCGAAAUGCGAUACUUGGUGUGAAUUGCAGAAUCCCGUGAACCAUCGAGUCUUUGAACGCAAGUUGCGCCCNAAGCCAUUANGCCGAGGGCACGUCUGCCUGGGCGUCACGCA